CCUACGGGUGGCAGCAGUGGGGAAUAUUGGACAAUGGGGGCAACCCUGAUCCAGCCAUGCCGCGUGUGUGAAGAAGGCCCUCGGGUUGUAAAGCACUUUCAGUGAGGAAGAACGCCUGGUGGUUAAUACCCAUCAGGAAAGACAUCACUCACAGAAGAAGCACCGGCUAACUCCGUGCCAGCAGCCGCGGUAAUACGGAGGGUGCGAGCGUUAAUCGGAAUUACUGGGCGUAAAGCGCGCGUAGGUGGCUUGAUAAGCCGGUUGUGAAAGCCCCGGGCUCAACCUGGGAACGGCAUCCGGAACUGUCAAGCUAGAGUGUAGGAGAGGAAGGUAGAAUUCCCGGUGUAGCGGUGAAAUGCGUAGAGAUCGGGAGGAAUACCAGUGGCGAAGGCGGCCUUCUGGACUGACACUGACACUGAGGUGCGAAAGCGUGGGUAGCAAACAGGAUCAGAUACCCCUGUAGUC
rnacentral:rRNA from 1 species